rnacentral:rRNA from 1 species
GACGAACGCUGGCGGCGUGCUUAACACAUGCAAGUCGAACGGUGAAGCGCCUUUCUUUUUGGUGGGUGUGGAUGAGUGGCGAACGGGUGAGUAACACGUGAGUAACCUGCCCCCUUCUUCUGGAUAACCGCAUGAAAGUGUGGCUAAUACGGGAUAUUCUGAGUCUGUCGCAUGAUGGGUCUGGGAAAGAUAUUGUUUCGGUGGGGGAUGGGCUCGCGGCCUAUCAGCUUGUUGGUGGGGUGAUGGCCUACCAAGGCGGUGACGGGUAGCCGGCCUGAGAGGGUGGACGGUCACACUGGGACUGAGACACGGCCCAGACUCCUACGGGAGGCAGCAGUGGGGAAUAUUGCACAAUGGGCGCAAGCCUGAUGCAGCGACGCCGCGUGAGGGAUGGAGGCCUUCGGGUUGUGAACCUCUUUCGCCAGUGAAGCAGGCCUGCCUCGUUUGUGGGUGGGUUGACGGUAGCUGGAUAAGAAGCGCCGGCUAACUACGUG